rnacentral:pre_miRNA from 1 species
AGAAAGAUUGCUGGAUUGUAUGGUAAGAAAAUGUUAGCUUUUUAAGAAACUGUCAAACUAUAUUCCAAAGUGACUGUUCCAUUUGCAUUUCCACCGGCAAU